GAUGAAGAACGUAGUGAAAUGCGAUACGUAAUGUGAAUUGCAAAUUCAGUGAAUCAUCGAGUCUUUGAACGCACAUUGCGCCCCCUGGUAUUCCGGGGGGCAUGCCUGUCCGAGCGUCAUUACUGCCCUCAAGCCCGGCUUGUGUGUUGGGCCCCGUCCUCCGAUCCCGGGGGACGGGCCCGAAAGGCAGCGGCGGCACCGCGUCCGGUCCUCGAGCGUAUGGGGCUUUGUCACCCGCUCUGUAGGCCCGGCCGGCGCUUGCCGAUCAACCCCAAUUUUUUAUAGGUUGACCUCGGAUCAGGUAGGGAUACCCGCUGAACUUAAGCAUAUCAAUAAGCGGAGGA
rnacentral:misc_RNA from 1 species